rnacentral:rRNA from 1 species
GAUGAACGCUGGCGGCGUGCCUAAUACAUGCAAGUCGAACGCAUUGUGGUUGAAAUGAUAUGAAGAACUUGUUCAGAUUUGAUUUUCAACAUUGCAAUGAGUGGCGAACGGGUGAGUAACACGUGGGAAACCUACCUCUUAGCAGGGGAUAACAUUUGGAAACAAAUGCUAAUACCGUAUAAUAAUUAAAACCGCAUGGUUUUAGUUUAAAAGAUGGUCUUGCUAUCACUAAGAGAUGGUCCCGCGGUGUAUUAGUUAGUUGGUGAGGUAAUGGCUCACCAAGACAAUGAUACAUAGCCGAGUUAGAGAGACUGACCGGCCACAAUGGGACUGAGACACGGCCCAUACUCCUACGGGAGGCA